ACGAUGAUAUUUGACAUUGUGGUUAGGCCUGCUUUACUUGGGUCUCUAGCUUGGACAGAGUCUCUUCGGAAGCAAUCUCAAGUGUUGCCCCAGCGUGCUCUUCAUUAAUCUUCAUUACGUAGUCGCCGCGGUCGUUGAUCUCGGCCUGGACGAGACAAUGGGUGAUGAAUUCAGAGGCCUCGCGCGCCUCGUCGAGGAGGCGCUUCACAUCGGCCUCCGACGAAGCG
rnacentral:misc_RNA from 1 species